ensembl:lncRNA
GGAAGGAGAGAGAGAGCGGGGGCUGCUGUGCGGAGUGCCGCCUCGGGAGCGGGCAGCGCGAGGGAAACUCCUCGCCCCCUUCGUGAGCCGAAGGGACCGCUUUGCGCUAGCGAGAAGCGGGUGUUCCUGGCUCGUAACCAUCCCCUCGUCGUGGUGAGAGCGCUACCGCCGGUUGAUACUGAAUCAACUCCACGAGUGUUUACUCUCUGCAAAAUCCCAGCAGAACGAGUUAUCAGAAAAUGGAUGAAAGAAUGCCCUCUAGAGGCAGAAUUCAGCUGAAUAAAAUUCCCAGAUACAGAGAAGAAGAAUUGGAGAACAUAAACAUUACAGCCAUAUGGAGAAGAGUUGGCAUUGCUCAAGCCUCGUGUAAAUACAAACAAAUGGCAGCAGAGGGGGCAGUCUGACACAUUGGCGUCUGACAUGGAUGUGCGGAUGAAACAAAGGGAAAUGCUGCCUUCUACGAUGCCUGUUAUAGCAAUGAAACUGUAUGAAUUUCAUCCAUGAUUUCUGACAUUUGAUCUUCGUAUAGGAGCAGAGGAUGCCAAGAGAAGAGGAGCCUCGUGUGAGACCUCAGCGGGUAGCUUCUAUCCUCCCUCAUUCUGCUUCAACAGGAGCAAGCAGGAUGAGUGCUUCUCACUACCAAGAUGUUGGAGCACUGCACACGUGCUGGGACUUUUACCAAGGUGGACAAAGAGAAUGGACUCCUAAGAGAGCUCAGGACCAAGAAGAUGAGAUGAAUUCAUGGACUUUUGGAUAAUACACAGCUGAGACAGUCUACCAUGGAAGCAACUCCUACCACUUUGGAUAACACACACUGAGGAAGAUAUAGUCAUUUUUGGUGUCCCAGAGAAACAGCUGCAGUCCUCAGAGGGUUGUUAUGAGGAUGGUUUCAACACUGCUGCCUCUUUUUGUUUGAUUUGCAAUGUUAAGAAGCAACAGGAAAAAGCAAUCACCCAACUCUACCUCCACCAUCCCAGAAUAACAGGAGGAACACGUGUUUCACAGUAUUCCAGAGACUUCCUGCCCACAAGAAAGCAAUGCCUACUAAGCUGACAAAUGACUAACGCUGAUGCCCACCCUGUGUCUUUCUGAAUUUGAAUUUUGAAGAUACUGAGAACCAACAACAAAUCUUGUAAACUUUGUCGACAGCUGGGAGGAUCCAUCUUAUGGGUGAGCACUCGAUGGAGUUACUAUUUACAUUAAUUUUAAUGAUUAAAGGCUGAACACAUAAGUCUGGGUUCAUUCACCUACUCUCUGGGCAUUUACCUGACAUGUUAGGUUGAUUGUUCAGUGUCCAGAAAGUCACUGCUAUGACUUCCCUACGUGGCUGUAGGGAAGACCUGUUAGUGGCAGACAGCAUUGUCCAUCAGAAGAACCUGUUUUUUACCUUAGAGCAGGCCUUUGGAUUUUGUUAAUCAGGUACAUCAGUCAUUUAUACUGAUGAUAAACAUUUGACAAAUAAUCCGCUCUGGAAGGAGUGUGAUUUACUGCUGCAGUCUGUGUUUGUUCUAUUAAUAACAGUAAUAAUGUUUGGCAGUGGUGUAAGCAAAGGACAGAACAGAUUUCCCAAGCUCUGUCUGGCUGAGUGUGGUUUUCCAUGUUCUACUGAGAAUGUUUUGCAAGGGCCAGGCCUGUUGGGAUCAAAAGAACAUGGAAGAACAAGAGCAGAGACUUGCUGCAAGCUUGUCAUUGUGUGUAAGGAUGAAUUGCUGGGUUUGUUAGGAUUUCUCCUAUGUUAUUUCUCUCAGAUGGGUUUAAUUUGAGACUUGGAUCCUUUCGAUGUAGCACUGUGAAAGGAUUUAAUUUUUGAAGUGAAAUUUGAGUGGAAUUCUGUGUAAAUCAUGUUGAAAAUUGUCUUUAACUUUUUCUCUCACAGAAGGUGUUUGUGUUCCUUGAAAAGUAAAGGAGAUCUGUUUUCAUUAAAGGAAUGAAAACUUGCAAGCUUAAAACACUAAUACACUUUGCAAGGAUUAGUCAUGUCCAGGAUCUGUACAUGAUUUCAUUGCAAAACUGUCUUUGUUCCAUAUGUAUGACAGUUUGCAGUGAAAACAAUUCCUGCUGGGUCCAUUUCUGCAGUUCUGGGUAGCUGUUACAUUUUCUGCACCAGUAUACAAAGAACCAAUACAGCUUCCUUUCUAACACAGCUAUGCCGGAAAUCCAGUCAGUAUUAAGAGCUGUCUGACUGACAGCAGAGCAGUUAAACAAAGGUGAAUCACUCACACACACGAGGGCCCUUAUCUAGAGUACAGGAACAGGUGUUCACCAACUUGUGCAUCAGAGCAGUGUUUCUUCUUUAUGGCUGAUUGCUUAAUGGUGUGACUGAGCCCUGUGUAGUCCGGUCAGUGGAACGUGAUAGGUCUCAGAGGGCUGCAAAGGUUACACGCUAUUUGGAUGAUUUUAUUCAGCUUGACAUCUGGCUUUUCAAAGCCGCAGCUUAGCCCUUUUCUGAAAUCUUUUUGAUAGCUGCGUCAUCUCAAAGAACUAUUGCCAAAAUUUUAUUCAUAUAUUUACUACUUUAUUGAAGAACUGUAUUCCUUUCAGGUAUACCAGUUUGGAAUGAAAAUAUUACUUUUGUAAUGCACUUGAGUGUUUUUCAUUUUGUGUGGAUACAAAGUUUGGGCUCUCUUUCAAUCCUUUCUAUCAGAACGAACCUUUGUAAUAUAUUUGAUUGAUAGAUUUUAUUACUAUGGCUACUCCUAUUCUAUACAGCAGAUUUUCUUAGUGAGAGUAGUAUCUACCUCUGCCCUCGCUCAGCCUACUUUGUUUAUUACUCUUUAUUGUGGUAUUUUUUCCAUUGCUUUUCGUAAAAAUAGGCUUGCUAAAGAAUAAGGAGCUUCUCAUGUCUUUAAACCCCUGGUGUUCUGUACUGCUGCUUUACAGAGUGCAUAAUCAUGCGCACUGAAAUUUUGUUGCCUGAAAGUGUUAAGAAAUGAAAAUCAUAGAGAGCUUCCAUCUUAUGAGAUGGCUCUUUUUUUUUUUUUUUCCUUAAUUUGCAAAACUCCUUAUU